ACAAAAGGAAGAGAGUGAUUUCUCCUUCGCUGCACCACCAGAGGGAAGGCCAUGUAAGGACGCAGUGAGAAGCCAGGAAGAAAGGUCUGACCAGAAACUGAGUCAACGGACACCUGGAUCUUGGACUUCCCAGCUUUCACAACUUUGGUAGCACCAGAUGUGCCUCCAGCCUGUCGUGUGUGGUCUGUGAUUAGGACAUCGAUCUGGUUGAAGCUUUCUUCUCUUUUGGACUUGGCCGUCCCCUGAAUGGGGAGGGGGCUGUGGUACAGUUUGGCCAAUGGCAUGCAUCAGGGGUGCAGGUCCGCUGUCCACUCGUCUCUGGAUCAGGAAGCCGGAGUAGAUCAAAGGGUGACUUUGGGAUUGUACAUAUUUAUGGCCAAGGAAAACAACGAAGAGAAAUAAAUCUCCAAAUGUCAUUAGAUUAA